rnacentral:rRNA from 1 species
AGAGUUUGAUCCUGGCUCAGGACGAACGCUGGCGGCGUGCCUAAUACAUGCAAGUCGAACGCACUCUCGUUUAGAUUGAAGGAGCUUGCUCCUGAUUGAUAAACAUUUGAGUGAGUGGCGGACGGGUGAGUAACACGUGGGUAACCUGCCCUAAAGUGGGGGAUAACAUUUGGAAACAGAUGCUAAUACCGCAUAAAACCUAACACCGCAUGGUGUAGGGUUGAAAGAUGGUUUCGGCUAUCACUUUAGGAUGGACCCGCGGUGCAUUAGUUAGUUGGUGAGGUAAAGGCUCACCAAGACCGUGAUGCAUAGCCGACCUGAGAGGGUAAUCGGCCACACUGGGACUGAGACACGGCCCAGACUCCUACGGGAGGCAGCAGUAGGGAAUCUUCCACAAUGGACGAAAGUCUGAUGGAGCAACGCCGCGUGAGUGAAGAAGGUUUUCGGAUCGUAAAACUCUGUUGUUGGAGAAGAAUGUAUCUGAUAGUAACUGAUCAGGUAGUGACGGUAUCCAACCAGAAAGCCACGGCUAACUACGUGCCAGCAGCCGCGGUAAUACGUAGGUGGCAAGCGUUGUCCGGAUUUAUUGGGCGUAAAGCGAGCGCAGGCGGUUUCUUAAGUCUGAUGUGAAAGCCUUCGGCUCAACCGAAGAAGUGCAUCGGAAACUGGGAAACUUGAGUGCAGAAGAGGACAGUGGAACUCCAUGUGUAGCGGUGAAAUGCGUAGAUAUAUGGAAGAACACCAGUGGCGAAGGCGGCUGUCUGGUCUGUAACUGACGCUGAGGCUCGAAAGCAUGGGUAGCAAACAGGAUUAGAUACCCUGGUAGUCCAUGCCGUGAACGAUGAGUGC